GUUAAAAAGCUCGUAGUUGGAUUUCUGCGGGGGCGGGGCGGCCGGUUGCUUAUAGCAACUCGGGCUAGCACUUCCCCCGCAUCCUGCCGCGAACCGUGCUACCAUUAGUUUGGUGGCGCUGGGGAUCGGCUCGUUUACUUUGAGAAAAAUAGAGUGUUCAAAGCAGGCCACACGCCUUGAAUAAGUUAGCAUGGAAUAAUGAUAAAGGACUUCGGUUCUAUUUUGUUGGUGUUCGGGACUGAAGUAAUGAUUGAUAGGGACAGUUGGGGCGGUCAGUAUUCCAAAGCGAGAGGUGAAAUUCUUAGACCUUCGGAAGACUAACAGCUGCGAAAGCGUUCCGCGAGGAUGUUCCCUUCGAUCAAGAACGAAAGUUGGGGGAUCGAAGACGAUCAGAUACCGUCGUAGUCUCAACUAUAAACUAU
rnacentral:rRNA from 1 species